CCUCCAGGCAAACAGUGAUAUAGAAUGUCAGGUUGUAUCUGCCAUCUGCCUCAUCCUAAACCAGAAAAAGGAAAAGAGGUUUCAUGCACAAAUAUACUGUCUCCCCCCAGAUAUUGUGAGCAUGGCACUUUCUGAUCACCCAAAGGGGGAAUUCAUAUCUCCGAAAACGAACAGAGAAUUCAGGGUGGAAGCCUACCCCAAUUUCAUUCCCUUCAUAGAUA